rnacentral:rRNA from 1 species
UUGGACCUGAGAACAGGCAAAGUUACCCGCUGAACUUAAGCAUAUCAAUAAGCCGGGAGGAA